rnacentral:ncRNA from 1 species
UGUUUCUUUAAUUUUUAUAGAAUAAUUUGUUUAUUUAUUCUAUUUAUUCUAAAAAUAUUUGGUUUGUUUAAUUCUGUAUGUUUUAAAAGGUCUAUUUUUUGAUUUUUUAGGUAUAAAAGUUUUAUUCUUGCUUAAAUAUUUGCUUUAUUUUUAUUUUAUAUACUAGUUUUGAACACUAAAUGUUUCGUUUAUGUAGUAAUUAUAUUUAAUAAUCUCAAGUUAUUUUGGAAUUAGGAAUUGAUGAAGUUUUGACAAAUUUUGUGCCAGCAGUCGCGGUUAUACAAUUAAUGCAAGUAAAUAUUUUUGAUUUUAUAGACAAUAGUAGAUUUUUGGAUGUUAAUUUAAUUUAUUUGAGGUGAAAUUUUUAAAUUAUUUUAUAUUCUUUAUUUUGAUUCUGUGAAAAUUAAAUUAUAAACUAGGAUUAGAUACCCUAUUAUUUUAAUUGUAAAUUUUUAAUAUUGGAAUAUUAAUAGUUAAUUUCUUUAAAUUCAAAGAAUUUGGCGGCAUUUCAUUCUAUUCAGAGGAACCUACCCCGUAAUUGAUAAUACACGAUUGGUGUUACUUAAUUUUUUUUUGUAUAUCUCCGUUAUCAGGAAGUCUUUUUAGAGUUAUAAAAUUUUCGUAAUUUUUAAUUAAGAAUUAUUUCAGGUCAAGGUGCAGUUUAUAAUUAAGAGGAGGCGGGUUACAAUAAUUUUAUUUUUUCGGUUUUAUUUAUGAAAAUUUAUAAUUAAGUUGGAUUUGAAAGUAAUUUGUUUAACAUUAUUCAUUUGAAUUGGGCUCUGAGGUGUGUACAUAUCGCCCGUCGCUCUCAUUAUUUAUUUAAUUUAUAGAAUAUAUUUAAGGUGAGAUAAGUCGUAACAAAGUAGGUGUACUGGAAAGUGUAUCUAGAAAGAAUU